CAGGCGCAGCUACACAUGCAAGUCGAGCGGUAACAGGGGUAGCUUGCUACCCGCUGACGAGCGGCGGACGGGUGAGUAAUGCAUGGGUAUCUGCCCGGUAGUGGGGGAUAACUCGGGGAAACCCGAGCUAAUACCGCAUACGUCCUACGGGAGAAAGCAGGGGAUCUUCGGACCUUGCGCUAUCGGAUGAGCCCAUGUCGGAUUAGCUUGUUGGUGAGGUAACGGCUCACCAAGGCCGCGAUCCGUAGCUGGUCUGAGAGGAUGAUCAGCCACACCGGGACUGAGACACGGCCCGGACUCCUACGGGAGGCAGCAGUGGGGAAUAUUGGACAAUGGGGGAAACCCUGAUCCAGCCAUGCCGCGUGUGUGAAGAAGGCCUUCGGGUUGUAAAGCACUUUCAGUGGGGAAGAAGGCAUGAUGGUUAAUAACCAUCAUGAAGGACAUCACCCACAGAAGAAGCACCGGCUAACUCCGUGCCAGCAGCCGCGGUAAUACGGAGGGUGCAAGCGUUAAUCGGAAUUACUGGGCGUAAAGGGCGCGUAGGCGGCUUGCCAAGCCGGAUGUGAAAGCCCCGGGCUCAACCCGGGAACGGCAUUCGGA
rnacentral:rRNA from 1 species